rnacentral:rRNA from 1 species
CGGGACGGGUGAGUAAUGUCUGGGAAACUGCCUGAUGGAGGGGGAUAACUACUGGAAACGGUAGCCAAUACCGCAUAACGUCGCAAGACCAAAGAGGGGGACCUUCGGGCCUCUUGCCAUCGGAUGUGCCCAGAUGGGAUUAGCUAGUAGGUGGGGUAACGGCUCACCUAGGCGACGAUCCCUAGCUGGUCUGAGAGGAUGACCAGCCACACUGGAACUGAGACACGGUCCAG